rnacentral:lncRNA from 1 species
ACAUGAGAAACGUGGAGGAUAACAGCGUUCUCGACGGCGUGAAAGUGAGGCGGUCUCUCAAGAGCGGUGACCGUGUGUUAGAAAGCCCUCAUCCAGUGGCUGAAGGAAGCAGAGACAGACAUCCACAGAUAUACACUGAGCUGAAAUCUGGAAUUUAGUUGAAGAGAGGAAGGAAUGAAGAUCGAAGGGGUCUGUACCAGGUUGGAGAAACCCACAGGAACAGUUGGCCUGAACAAGAAAGAGCACAUCGACCCCAGAUGCUGUCUGGGAGGCCAGUACAAGACUGAUCCAGACCCCUGAACAUGGAUGUCAAUAAGGAGGCCUCAGCCCUCCAAGGAGCCUCUGGUAGUGGAUUAGUAUUUUUCCCUGGUGCAAGAAGGGACUUUGAGAGCCCAUCCCACAUGAAGGGAUACACUCUGGCCCUGGACACAAGGGGAAGGGCCCAGGCCCAGCAAAGGAAGAUUUGAUGGACUUUGCAGAGCCCCAAUUGAGGGCCCUACCCUG